GAAGGGGGCUAGCGUUGUUCGGAAUUACUGGGGCGUAAAGCGCAUGCAGGCGGAUCGCUAAGUCGGGGGUGAAAGCCCGAGGCUCAACCUCGGGAACUGCCUUCGAUACUGGCGAUCUUGAGUCCGGGAGAGGUGAGUGGAACUCCGAGUGUAGAGGUGAAAUUCGUAGAUAUUCGGAAGAACACCAGUGGCGAAGGCGGCUCACUGGCCCGGUACUGACGCUGAGAUGCGAAAGCGUGGGGAGCAAACAGGAUUAGAUACCCUGGUAGUCCACGCCGUAAACGAUGGAUGCUAGCCGUCAGCCAGCUUGCUGGUUGGUGGCGCAGCUAACGCAUUAAGCAUCCCGCCUGGGGAGUACGAUCGCAAGAUUA
rnacentral:rRNA from 1 species